UAAAACAAAAUCUUGUGAAAAGUAAUGUUCCACAAUGCACAGGCAAGACUAACCGUUAUCUUAAGAGGAGCGACACCAUAUCUCAUUACAAAGUUCAGUACCAUCCACACGUCAGCAUAACAUCUGCCUUUAUGGUUUUCGAAAGAGAAGCAGUCUUGGAAUUAUAUGGACAGAGAAAGUGUCCCAUCAUUCAGACCGUGCUUCGGUUAUACCAUGGAGAUUACAAAAAUACAACCUACAAAAAUGUACUCUACAUCAGCUACAGCUACAUUUAACUAUAGUCUGCAGAGAAAUUAAUGUCAAGUGUGGCAACAGGCGUCUUCCACAGGAAUGCGAUAGAGCCACCUAUUCAGAUAUCCUUAGAAUCCAACUGCUUUGUGGAGUUGUAGUUUCUGAUUCCAGCUGUCCUUUAACCAGAGUUUUGGUGCCCGUCGCAUAUAGCAGAUGAUGACUGAUCAUCGAUUCCAACUAGAUGCGGUUAACUUGCCAGACCUGCGAACUGUUGGACCAAUAUGUGAAUACAGUCACUGGAAACAGGCUUUUCAAAACAAAAUAGUGUGCAAGUUUAAGGGUAGGAAGAGCACGUAACAAGAAAGAAUUUUCAAUACAACAGAUAGUCCCUGUAUUGCAUAAAGAUUGGAAAGGUCUAGCUCGUUCUACAGCCGCACCCAUGCCUGUAAUCUUUCAGACUCUGGUUCAAGACCUGAUGGUUUUUUUAUCCACUUCAAAGUUCUUUGUUUCAGCAUCCCUGCCUGUAGGCCCCUCGAGGAUACAAGUUGCAACUAUACCCUUGUGAAGACAGCCACACAAUAACGCUCCACAGGAUGAGCAAUAAACUGAAAGAGAAUGACAUCUGAAUUGGUCCAUUCGAUCUCAGUGAAUGAAGCUAUAUUUAAGUUAUUGUUCAAUUUCCAGUCCACUAGUGUGCUUCUCCUGGAAUUUACCACAAGUCAACAUUAAGUAAACAACACAAAAACAAGCAGAUGCAAUAGAAAGCAUAAAAUAUUACGAACAUCUUAAGUCCUUUGCAAGAAGUAAACUUGCCAUAAAUUGGGGUGUCUACCGGAUAGUUUGGUCAUACAUGUCUCAGAUCUGUGACUGUCACCCUAAGAUAAUUUUUCCUUGGGAUUUUUCUAGUCUAACUUUAAAAAAUUUGGUGUCGUGAUUGCAUUUCUGGUCAGCUAGUUACCUAAGUGUUAGAAUCAGUGUAUG